rnacentral:rRNA from 1 species
CGUAGGUAACCUGCCUGGUAGCGGGGGAUAACUAUUGAAACGAUAGCUAAUACCGCAUAACAGUCGACAUUGCAUGAUGUUGAUUUGAAAAGGGGGAAAUUUGCUCCACUACCAGAUGGACCUGCGUUGUAUUAGCUAGUUGGUGAGGUAACGGCUCACCAAGGCGACGAUACAUAGCCGACCUGAGAGGGUGAUCGGCCACACUGGGACUGAGACACGGCCCAG